rnacentral:rRNA from 1 species
UUAAUUAGCUGCAUUAUUUGACGUUUAGCGACGAGAAGAAGACACCGGCUAACUCCGUGCCAGCAGCCGCGGAAUACGGAGGGUGCGAGCGUUAAUCGGAAUUACUGGGCGUAAAGCGCAUGCAGGUGGUUUGUUAAGUCAGAUGUGAAAGCCCGGGGCGUCAACCUCGGAAUAGCAUUUGAAACUGGCAGACUAGAGUACUGUAGAGGGGGGUAGGAAUUUCAGGUGUAGCGGUGAAAUGCGUAGAGAUCUGAAGGAAUACCGGUGGCGAAGGCGGCCCCCUCGGACAGAUACUGACACUCAGAUGCGAAAGCGUGGGGAGCAAACAGGAUUAGAUACCCUGGUAG